CAGUAGCCGCGGGAAUACGAAGGGGGCUAGCGUUGCUCGGAAUGACUGGGCGUAAAGGGCGCGUAAGCGGAUGGCACAGUCAGAUGUGAAAUUCCCGGGCUUAACCUGGGGGCUGCAUUUGAUACGUGUUGUCUAGAGUGAGGAAGAGGGUCGUGGAAUUCCCAGUGUAGAGGUGAAAUUCGUAGAUAUUGGGAAGAACACCGGUGGCGAAGGCGGCGACCUGGUCCUUUACUGACGCUGAGGCGCGAAAGCGUGGGGAGCAAACAGGAUUAGAUACCCGAGUAGUCCCUGUCUCUUAUAC
rnacentral:rRNA from 1 species